UACAGAGGGUGCGAGCGUUGUCCGGAGUUAUUGGGCGUAAAGCGCGCGCAGGCGGCCUCGCGCGCCCGACGUGAAAGCCCCCGGCUUAACCGGGGAGGGUCGUUGGGGACGGCGGGGCUUGAGGGCGGGAGAGGUCGGUGGAAUUCCCGGUGUAGUGGUGAAAUGCGUAGAGAUCGGGAGGAACACCUGUGGCGAAGGCGGCCGACUGGGCCGACCCUGCGCUGAGGCGCGAAGGCGUGGGGAGCGAACGGG
rnacentral:rRNA from 1 species